rnacentral:rRNA from 1 species
CCUACGGGGGGCAGCAGUGAGGAAUAUUGGUCAAUGGACGAGAGUCUGAACCAGCCAAGUAGCGUGAAGGAUGACUGCCCUAUGGGUUGUAAACUUCUUUUAUAUGGGAAUAAAAUGUUCCACGUGUGGGAUUUUGUAUGUACCAUAUGAAUAAGGAUCGGCUAACUCCGUGCCAGCAGCCGCGGUAAUACGGAGGAUCCGAGCGUUAUCCGGAUUUAUUGGGUUUAAAGGGAGCGUAGGUGGAUUGUUAAGUCAGUUGUGAAAGUUUGCGGCUCAACCGUAAAAUUGCAGUUGAAACUGGCAGUCUUGAGUACAGGAGAGGUAGGCGGAAUUCGUGGUGUAGCGGUGAAAUGCUUAGAUAUCACGAAGAACUCCGAUUGCGAAGGCAGUUCACUGGACUGCAACUGACACUGAGGCUCGAAAGUGUGGGUAUCAAACAGGAUUAGAUACCCGUGUAGUC